CCGAGUCAUAGAGUGCCAGGAAGAGGCAGUUGGAGAAAAAAACUGGCAGAAUUUGCAGUGUGAUCAGCAAGUCUACGCUGAGGAUGCCCAUCUUCUCUGCCUCCCAGGAUUCCUGUCUGCUUUCUCUACUGCUGUCUUCCACCAGUUAGAACCAUUCCUGGAACAGAGUAAAUUCAAGAGUAAGAGAGCAUCAUAUCAACCACUGCUUCCUUCUGGUUGGAAAAAAUAAGAAUAUGAGUGGUAAAUGUUCCUUUGGUCUGCUUUUUGACUCAAAUUGAGACUGAGAGCAUGAAGUUGAAUAACUUGAGAGCAGACUUGGAAAUUUCAGGGAUAGAAGCUAUCACUGCUAUCACUGCUAUCACAUUAUUGUUCUAUGAAUGAGCCAAAGAGCACCCAAAGAAUUCUGUCAAGUUAAUAACUCAUGCUGUGGAUUUUUAAGAAGUCUUAUUUCACAGAAUUUUAUUCCUUCUAAAAUUCAAACAAUUUGUUAAAUAUAGUUUAAAAAUGGA